AACGAACGCUGGCGGCAGGCCUAACACAUGCAAGUCGAACGCACCGCAAGGUGAGUGGCGCACGGGUGAGUAACACGUGGGAAUGUAUCCUUUGGUUCGGAAUAACGUUUGGAAACGAACGCUAAUACCGGAUGAGCCCUUAGGGGGAAAGAUUUAUCGCCGAAGGAGCAGCCCGCGUCUGAUUAGGUAGUUGGUGGGGUAAAGGCCUACCAAGCCGACGAUCAGUAGCUGGUCUGAGAGGAUGAUCAGCCACACUGGGACUGAGACACGGCCCAGACUCCUACGGGAGGCAGCAGUGGGGAAUAUUGGACAAUGGGCGAAAGCCUGACGCAGCCAUGCCGCGUGAAUGAUGAAGGUCUUAGGAUUGUAAAAUUCUUUCACCGGGGACGAUGAUGACGGUACCCGGAGAAGAAGCCCCGGCUAACUUCGUGCCAGCCGCCGCGGUAA
rnacentral:rRNA from 1 species